rnacentral:rRNA from 1 species
UACAGAGGUCCCAAGCGUUGUUCGGAUUCACUGGGCGUAAAGGGUGCGUAGGUGGCGCCGUAAGUCAGGUGUGAAAUUUCGGAGCUUAACUCCGAAACUGCAUUUGAUACUGCGGUGCUUGAGGACUGGAGAGGAGACUGGAAUUUACGGUGUAGCAGUGAAAUGCGUAGAGAUCGUAAGGAAGACCAGUGGCGAAGGCGGGUCUCUGGACAGUUCCUGAGACUGAGGCACGAAGGCCAGGGGAGCAAACGGG